GUCAGUGUGGCACAGUGGUUUGAGCAUUGGACUAGGACUUUGGAGACCAGGGUUCGAAUCCUGGCUCGGCCA
rnacentral:tRNA from 1 species